ACCCAACAGCGCGGCCACUAUUCCCAGCAAUCCAGUUCCAGCUCCCAGCUCAAUCACCGACCGAUCCCUCAGAUCGAUGCCUCCCAUCUCCAGAUAAGCGGACAGGACGACAGCCUGACAGGGAGACAAGGGUGAGAGCCCAGCACAGCAGUGAAGUUGGAAGAAAUGUAACUUGGUUCCACCUUUAAGUGCUGCAGAAGGCAAAAUGGACGUCUGAGCUGCAGAUAAACUUGCAAAGUGGGAAGCAGCUCAUUGUAAGCGAUGGUUCUGCAGACACUGCACAUACCAAAUGGACCUUGGAGACAAGCACAACGUGGGGAAAAUACCUCAUCCAUCUCACGUCUCUGGUUGCCACGGCAAAGACAGGUAUAAAUAGAAACAAUCUGAUAUACUUCUUAAAAACUCUGUAUCUGGGAACACGCAUUGUUGGUAACCCUCUGACAGCAACUCCUUAUCCUAAAUGGCUGCAGUGACUAUUGGCCUAGAGACUUCUGGUCCUAUGUGUUUAAUGGCUUCCUGUCUAAAUAAAAAUCAGCUACUUCUGCUUGUCCUUCCACUGCAACAUGAAAACGAUCUUUGAAGGAACAUCUGUUUUUUGCUAAAAAACUUCCACCAACCAACCAAACACCAGCUAACACCAGGAAUGGAGGGGGACCUGCACAGGAAAGAAGGCUUUCUACCCAGCUACCAGCAGCAGCAGCCAUUCAAGUCACUAGCAGUGAAGUGACGAGCAGUUUGUACAUGCACAUGUUCACUGGUAGCUUCUGGACUCAUCACACAAGAGAGAGAUAUGGGGCACUGAAUUGCUUUCUGUUAAACAAAAGAGGAAUAAGCCAGAGAUUAAUUCUGCUCAUCACAGCUUGAAGUUACAGAAUAAAGCCUGAUUGGUCUGGACCAUCUUUGAAACCAACAGGAUGAAUUUAAAGUGAAAACAUAUGAAACUAACAGGUUAUUUGCUGACAUUAUAACUUGCUGGUUCUGCAAGAAGUGUUAAAUAAGAAAAUAA